rnacentral:misc_RNA from 1 species
UGGAAGUAAAAAGUCGUAACAAGGUUUCCGUAGGUGAACCUGCGGAAGGAUCAUUAAUAGUGCCCUCUGAUGCAAAUCAUUGGGUUAGAUCUGCUCUCUUCGCAAGAAGAGGGUUUCCAUACACACCGUGAACUGUGGCUUCGGCCAUCACAAACUGUUAGUAAUGAAUGUAAUAUCAUAACAAAAACAAAACUUUUAACAAC